GACGAACGCUGGCGGCGUGCCUAAUACAUGCAAGUCGAGCGGACAGAAGGGAGCUUGCUCCCGGAAGUUAGCGGCGGACGGGUGAGUAACACGUGGGCAACCUACCCUGUAGAUCGGGAUAACAUCGAGAAAUCGGUGCUAAUACCGGAUAAUCAUUUGAAGUGCAUGCUUCGAAUGUAAAAGAUGGCUCCGGCUAUCACUACGGGAUGGGCCCGCGGCGCAUUAGCUAGUUGGUAAGGUAAUGGCUUGCCAAGGCAACGAUGCGUAGCCGACCUGAGAGGGUGAUCGGCCACACUGGGACUGAGACACGGCCCAGACUCCUACGGGAGGCAGCAGUAGGGAAUCCUCCGCAAUGGACGAAAGUCUGACGGAGCAACGCCGCGUGAGUGAUGAAGGUUUUCGGAUCGUAAAGCUCUGUUGUUAGGGAAGAACAAGUGCCGUUUGAAUAAGGCGGCACCUUGACGGUACCUAACCAGAAAGCCACGGCUAACUACGUGCCAGCCGCCGCGGUAAAAC
rnacentral:rRNA from 1 species